GCCCCUGUGGCGGAAUGGUAGACGCGGCAGACUCAAAAUCUGUUGCUCGCAAGGGCGUGGGGGUUCGAGUCCCUCCAGGGGCACCA
rnacentral:tRNA from 2 species